GCUAGCUGCAUUUGUGAAACUGACACAUCAAGGUCUGCAUUGGAGGGAAUGCAAAGAAAAAACAGCAGAAAAAAGGAUAGAAACAGAUUGACGCCUCAAAAAGAACUCAAAAUAUCAACAGCAGCAAAAGAGAUGCAAAAGAACAAUGCCAUACGGAUUUCAUUGUUGUUGAGGGCACAAGGUGAAAGAAAGAGCUCGCCAAAAUGAAGCAAGCGAGGAAAAAUAAAGGACACAGCACUAUAAUGUAGGAAUCUGAGGAUGUCCACUGAAA